UUGAUAUAUAUAUUCAUAUAUCUUUUUCUUGUGUUUUUCAUGCACAGGCUUCCAUGUUAAUAAUAAACUCGCUUGCUUUCACUCAAAACAAAUGAUUGGUUUAUUUUUGGGCUGUUUAUGAAGUGACUUUUUGUCUGUAAACCCAGCAGAACUCUGGCAGCCCUGAUCGAUACCUAAACACCAGCUGCGUGAAGAAAGCAUUUUUCUAAGUGUUUUCUUUACUCGUUCGCUUGAUUCCUGUCGGCGUCGCGAAAGUGUGCAUAAAUUAAUUCACCCGUGUCUCUUGAAGCAUCAGUGAUGAGGUAUUGGUCUCUUGAAGCAUCAGUGAUGAGGUGUUGGUCUCUUGAAGCAUCAGUGAUGAGGUAUUUGUCUCUUGAAGCAUCAGUGAUGAGGUAUUUGUCUCUUGAAGCAUCAGUGAUGAGGUAUUGGUCUCUUGAAGCAUCAGUGAUGAGGUAUUGAAGCAUCAGUGAUGAGGUAUUGGUCUCUUGAAGCAUCAGUGAUGAGGUAUUGGUCUCUUGAAGCAUCAGUGAUGAGGUAUUGGUCUCUUGAAGCAUCAGUGAUGAGGUAUUGGUCUCUUGAAGCAUCAGUGAUGAGGUAUUGGUCUCUUGAAGCAUCAGUGAUGAGGUAUUGGUCUCUUGAAGCAUCAGUGAUGAGGUAUUGGUCUCUUGAAGCAUCAGUGAUGAGGUAUUGAAGCAUCAGUGAUGAAGUAUUGGUCUCUUGAAGCAUUAGUGAUGAGGUAUUGAAGCAUCAGUGAUGAGGUAUUGAAGCAUCAGUGAUGAGGUAUUGGUCUCUUGAAGCAUCAGUGAUGAGGUAUUGGUCUCUUGAAGCAUCAGUGAUGAGGUAUUGGUCUCUUGAAGCAUCAGUGAUGAGGUAUUGGUCUCUUGAAGCAUCAGUGAUGAGGUAUUGAAGCAUCAGUGAUGAGGUAUUGAAGCAUCAGUGAUGAGGUAUUGGUCUCUUGAAGCAUCAGUGAUGAGGUA